rnacentral:lncRNA from 1 species
GAUCACAUAAACGUUACACCAUCGUCAAGUUAUAGAGGCCCAAAGUAGGCAUCACGAACUGUUCUUCACGAAGAACAACUCUGACAGCUACUUUGAAGUACGAUUUCUUCAGAUCUAACGUUUUUUUGAGGUAAUGAUUGUUGAUAAUUGUAGUCUGGUAUUUCCUCUACAAGACCCAAUUCAUAGAUUGCCCAGAUUCAUUAAGACCAAAAAGUUAUUCAUGGUCAAAGUAGCCCCCUUGAACUGUCUCUGACAGUGUUCUUGAGAUGAAGAACACCUAUAGCGACGGUUGUCUGUCGCUAUAGCCUUUAGCGACGGAUUUUAUUUAUUUUAUUUUCUGUAAUUUN